GGACUAGGGCUCAGUGGCAGAGUGCUUGCCUAGCAUGUGUGAGGCACUGGGUUCGAUCCUCAGUACUACA
rnacentral:tRNA from 1 species